AUUGAACGCUGGCGGCAGGCCUAACACAUGCAAGUCGAGCGGAGCGGCGGACGGGUGAGUAAUGCCUAUGAAUCUGCCUGGUCGUGGGGGAUAACGUCCGGAACCGGGCGCUAAUACCGCAUCCUAUCAGAUGAGCCUAGGGCGGAUUAGCUAGUUGGGGGGGUAAAGGCCUACCAAGGCGACGAUCCCUCACUGGUCUGAGAGGAGGAUCAGUCACAAUGGAACUUAGACACGGGUCCGGCUCCUAAGGGAGGCAGCAGGUGGGAAUAUUGCACAAUUGGCGCAAGCCCUACGCCACCAAGGCGCGUUGAAGAAGAAGGCCUUCCGGUUGUAAAGUACUUUCAGCGGGGAGGCGUUACCCGCAGAAGAAGCACCGGCUAACUCCGUGCCAGCAGCCGCGGUAAUUC
rnacentral:rRNA from 1 species